GACGAACGCUGGCGGCGUGCUUAACACAUGCAAGUCGAACGGAAAGGCCCUGCUUUUGUGGGGUGCUCGAGUGGCGAACGGGUGAGUAACACGUGAGUAACCUGCCCUUGACUUUGGGAUAACUUCAGGAAACUGGGGCUAAUACCGGAUAGGAGCUCCUGCUGCAUGGUGGGGGUUGGAAAGUUUCGGCGGUUGGGGAUGGACUCGCGGCUUAUCAGCUUGUUGGUGGGGUAGUGGCUUACCAAGGCUUUGACGGGUAGCCGGCCUGAGAGGGUGACCGGACACAUUGGGCCUGAGAUACGGCCCAGACUCCUACGGGAGGCAGCAGUGGGGAAUAGUGCACAAUGGGCGGAAGCCUGAUGCAGCAACGCCGCGUGCGGGAUGACGGCCUUCGGGUUGUAAACCGCUUUCGCCUGUGACGAAGCGUGAGUGACGGUAAUGGGUAAAGAAGCACCGGCUAACUACGUG
rnacentral:rRNA from 1 species